rnacentral:rRNA from 1 species
UGGGUAAUCUUUUGAAACUUCAUCGUGCUGGGGAUAGAGCAUUGCAACUAUUGCUCUUGAACGAGGAAUCCCUAGUAAGUACAAGUCACUAGCUUGUGCUGAUUACGUCCCUGCCCUUUGUACACACCGCCCGUCGCUACUACCGAUUGAAUGGCUUAGUGAGGCCCUCGGAUUGAGGCUCGGAGACUGGAAACAGACUCUUGGUUUUGAAAAGUUGGUCAAACUUGGUCAUUUAGAGGAAGUAAAAGUCGUAACAAGGUUUCCGUAGGUGAACCUGCGGAAGGAUCAUU